UAGUUUGGGAACUCAAAUUCUCAUAAGGAUUAUAGGAUGAACCGGGUAAGACUGAUGUGAAGCAAGAAGAUUUGGGGUUUUGGAAUUUGGAAUUCGGAAACGUCUGGAGCUUUCGGUGCAGCAUUUUCCUUAUUCGUUCGUUCAGGGUGAGGACCGAGGACGAGGAGAAGCGAUUCUCGUCCGGGCCCAGCAAACAUUCGGCACCCGUUGCACUACCGGUACCAGACGCACGUGACGUCCGUGUCGAUCGGUCCAGUUUCAUGAGCCCAUUCUAGUCUAUAGAGAGUAGUUACGUACGUACAAACAUUGAACUAUCCAUCGUCCAUAGGAUGGGAUCAAACAGUUGUCGACAAAACAAAGAAAAGAACACCAGGCCGCCUUGCUUAUAUAUAAAAAUAUUAGAGAAAGUACCUAUAUAUAUAUGUAUUUUUUUGCAUAUGUACACUAGUAGUAGUAGCAGUAGGGUCGUCCAAAAAUGGGGAAGGCGGCGCGGGGCCCGUGGGCCACAUGUCUGCCACCUGAUCACCACGUGGGCGAACCCCGCGCGGGCCCCGGCGAAAGAGACGGCCGGCUCGUUAGGUGCAGGGAGCCGCCGCCGCCGGGCCGUGGGAGAGCCAGCGGGUGAAGGCGUCCAGCGUGCGGGUGUCGGCGCGGUAGUGGCGCUGCGUGAAGCGCAUGAGGUCGGCCCAGGUGAAGUCCGGGUACUGCCGCGGCGCGGCGCUGGCCGGCGGGCGCACCACCCGGUCCUCGCGCGGGCACAGGAAGAAGGCCAGCGAUUGCCGCUCCUGCCGCCGGUUCACCACCGCGCGGUGCAGGCAGCUCUUGUACCGCCCGUUGGACAGCGCCUGCAUAUGGCAUGCGUUACAUACCGGAGGGGGUGGGGGGAGUUAGUACAGUACAGUACAGUGCACAAGAAUCAUC
rnacentral:misc_RNA from 1 species